GUAGCCACUUAGCAGAAAAGGAGAGAGCGCCCGGGACUCUCCCGGCAAUCUGUAAAACACUUGGCUAAUACAAACUCAGAAGCAGGACGUAGUGUUUUACACAUUAAAGUGGUCCGAAUCUGGGUAAACGGACUUGUGCCUCUUUGCACUUGACAUUGACCUCGCCGGCGAUCGCCGAGUGAUUCCCAACGCCCACUGCCGAACCUGAAAGGGGGUGCUUAGCAUCCCGGUGUCUAAUCCCCGGGCUACGACACAAACAAAAAAUAAAAUGAAAAUAUGAAGAAAGAUAGACAAUGCACUUGGAUAGAAUUGUCGUGCCCGACUACUGACACUACUAUGACACUAGCUACCUCGUCGUCAUUUCCGGCGGCGGCGGCAGCAGCACAACACAUUUCUGGCCCCGC
rnacentral:lncRNA from 1 species